AGUGAACGCUGGCGGUAGGCCUAACACAUGCAAGUCGAACGGCAGCACAGUAAGAGCUUGCUCUUACGGGUGGCGAGUGGCGGACGGGUGAGGAAUACAUCGGAAUCUACUUUUUCGUGGGGGAUAACGUAGGGAAACUUACGCUAAUACCGCAUACGACCUACGGGUGAAAGCAGGGGAUCUUCGGACCUUGCGCGAUUGAAUGAGCCGAUGUCGGAUUAGCUAGUUGGCGGGGUAAAGGCCCACCAAGGCGACGAUGCGUAGCUGGUCUGAGAGGAUGGUCAGCCACACUGGAACUGAGACACGGUCCAGACUCCUACGGGAGGCAGCAGUGGGGAAUAUUGGACAAUGGGCGCAAGCCUGAUCCAGCCAUACCGCGUGGGUGGAGAAGGCCUUCGGGUUGUAAAGCCCUUUUGUUGGGAAAGAAAAGCAGCAGGUUAAUACCCCGCUGUUCUGACGGUACCCAAAGAAUAAGCACCGGCUAACUUCGUG
rnacentral:rRNA from 1 species